ensembl:snoRNA small nucleolar RNA, C/D box 12
GCUGAUGUAUAUGAUGACUAAAACUUUUUUCCCCAUCAGAUCGACACUGUUGAUUUUGCUAUUUUUAGCCAGAUUUGUCUGAUACAUCAGC